AAGACUGCGGAGGAAACAACCCUCUCGGCAUACAUUGCUUGGCACCUUUGGAAGGAACGAAACAGAAGAGUUUUUGAGAAUGCUGAGAUGACGCCAAGAACCUUGGUGAACCUCAUUCUGGACGAUAUCAAAAUGCUCAAUGAGGCCUUCUGUCCAACCAUUCCGGUGGCUGGGUAG
rnacentral:rRNA from 1 species